GACGAACGCUGGCGGCGUGCCUAAUACAUGCAAGUAGAACGCAGUUUCGAACGGGUGAGUAACGCGUAGGUAACUGCCUCAUAGCGGGGGAUACCUAUUGGAAACGAUAGCUAAUACCGCAUACUUUGAGAUGGACCUGCUUUGUAUUAGCUAGUUGGUAGGGUAAAGGGUCACCAAGGCGACGAUACAUAGCCGACCUGAGAGGGUGAACGGGCAAACCUGGACUGUGACCCGGCCCAGACUCCUACGGGAGGCAGCAGUAGGGAAUCUUCGGCAAUGGACGGAAGGCUGACCGAGCAACGCCGGGUGAGUGAAGAAGGUUUUCGGAUCGUAAAGCUCUGUUGUUAGGGUAGCGGUAACUAACCAGAAAGGGACGGCUAACUACGUGCCAGCAGCCGCGGUAAUAC
rnacentral:rRNA from 1 species